rnacentral:lncRNA from 10 species
GGUGUCUCACAGGCCUGCUGGGCCCGUUGCACCCAUACUCCUUCCCUCCCUUCUGUCCAGUCUCCCUCCGUGUCCCAGAGGACACCCCAGCCCUUUGGCCCCCCGCGGCCCAGGUGCAGUGGCCGAAGUCCAGCUCCCUGGGUCUUGCUCCGAGGCCGGCACAGUCUUGACUGGACCAAGAGAGGGUCUGGGGAGUGCAUGGCCUUGUCUCUCUAAGCACAUCCUAAGGAGUUCUCCUCCCACUUGGGGCCUUGCCCCAGACCCUCCCUCCUGCCCAGGAUCACUGCUCCAGGCUGGCCACAUUCACCCGAUGGGGGCUCUGCCCCUCGCCCCAGGCCUGAGUCCUACUUCAUUUAUGCGGCUGCUUCAACAAUGCAAGGAAGAGAUUUGUAAUGGGAAAGGUAUUUUAUUUCUUUUUGAAAUUAUUUCCAGCUGAAUGAUGUUAGUAAAAAUACAGAGAGAAUACAACAAAUGACAUUUAGUAAUUUUUUCUGACUAACCCAUUUUAGGGUUGUUUAUAUACAAAGAAGAAUAUGAACAAGAACAAAUUUAAUAAAUAGCUGUAGCCUAAUACACAACCGAAAGACCGUAACUCCAACAGCAGAGAUACCCUGAGAACAGAAUAAGGAGGUGGUGCUGAGCGUGUAAAAUCCCAGACAACGACCCUCCCUGAGCGAGUGUCCUGAACAUGACCACAUUCUCGUCGCCGUCUCGGGACCUUCCUGCCGCCUGAGUGCACCGCCUCCCGCCCGGCUGUUGUCACUUGCACCCACAGACCUGCGGCUCACAGUGGGCCUGUCGACAGCCGGAGGCACCGUAAAAAACUGCAGGGAGGAGGCAGUCAACGAGUCGCUCAACUACACAAAAUUAAUGAUGUUAACUAAGAAGCUAAAAUAAAUAUCCUGUUUUCUUUUCUUUUCUUUUCUUCUUUUUUUUUUUUUUUUUGACGGAGUCUCGCUCUGUCACCCAGGCUGGAGUGCAGUGGCGCAAUCUCGGCUCACUGCAAGCUCCACCUCCCGGGUUCACGCCAUUCUCCUGUCUCAGGCUCCCGAGUAGCUGGGACUACAGGCACCC